rnacentral:lncRNA from 1 species
GAUUUCCAAUAAAAUGACAUACGUACCUAACUCGACGUACGCACGUAACGGGACCGGUUAUUGCUAACCAAUUAAUUUUGUUAAAUGCGUUACUCAAGUUUUAACUAAGCAUUCCUAAACUAUGAAAUCCAUUCAUAAUAAAUUUUAUCAAUAUCAAAUAUUUCUAAGAUGAUGAAAAACGAAAGAAAUCAUGAUUUUUAUAUAUCACGUGAUUAUUGAGAUUCCCGCCUAAACUUCACUGUCAUAAGACCACGUAUAUAUACGUAUCUUUACCUAUCAUACGAUUCAUUUGAGUUGUCUUUCAUGGUUUUGACAAUGACUUUGAUUUUCAGAUAUACUUAUCUUUGCAAAAUUUAAUGAACCUUUUAUUAUUUGAUAUUUGUAUUGAUUUUGUUUGUCGUUAUCAGAUAGAUUCUUC